UACGGAGGGGACUAGCGUUGUUCGGAAUUACUGGGCGUAAAGCGCACGUAGGCGGAUUUGUAAGUCAGGGGUGAAAUCCCGGGGCUCAACCUCGGAACUGCCUUUGAUACUGCAAAUCUCGAGUCCGGAAGAGGUGAGUGGAAUUCCUAGUGUAGAGGUGAAAUUCGUAGAUAUUAGGAAGAACACCAGUGGCGAAGGCGGCUCACUGGUCCGGUACUGACGCUGAGGUGCGAAAGCUAGGGGAGCGAACAGG
rnacentral:rRNA from 1 species